UUUAGUAUACCCUUCGCAAGAAAGCCUUAAGUACUCCACAGGAGCAGAACCUACAUUGCGACAGCGUGGUCCCAAACAAACAGCGGGGCAAGCUGCUCAUAAAGUUGUGCACCACUGGGCAUGUGGUAGCCUCCCACAGAUGCGAUGUUGGUCACCUGGAAGCAAAAAAGGGUUGUUUCGGCGCCAUUGGAGAGGACAUCUCCCGGUAAACUGGGCAUAGUGGCAAAGUAGCUUACCUUAAAAGCAACAUGAGCCAUCUCACAAAUAACGCCAGCGCCAAUGCCCAGGACAAGGCCGCGCAACAACGGCUCAAAGAAGGGGCUGAGCUCAGACGACGACGGGUCUGCAGAUUGGGGCUGCACAUUUUGCUCGCCCUGCAAACGAAAAAUAAAUACUAGUAGGUCCAAUACAUCCGAGUAUGGUGACUUCUUCCUCACUUCGGCAAAGUCCGUCCACACAAUUGCCUAGAACUUACCCUGACGAAACAUCGUCCUUACCUUCGUAUCCUCUUUGCGUGCACAGGCGACAACUGCUGCACGUUGCUGCUCCAGCGGCAAGCCAGGCAGGCCAGUAGUACGCGGCCGGCUCAGCGAGCGGUUCGCAAGGCGCUGUAAGCCGACG
rnacentral:lncRNA from 1 species